AUCAGACCACAGACGGUUAUCCUGUUGUACCAAAGCACUACUAUGUGCCAGCUGAUUUUGUAGAAUCUGAAAAAGAAACCCUGGUAGUCAGAAGCGAUUUCCUAGCAACUGUGGCCGUGAUGGAAAACUGUUUCUUUGGGGACAAGCCCUUUAUAUCAUCGCAAAACUCCUGGCUGAUGAAUUAAUCAGUCCUAAAGACAUUGAUCCUGUUCAGCGCUAUAUCCCACUACAGAAUCAACGUAACGUG